rnacentral:rRNA from 1 species
AGUGAACGCUGGCGGUAGGCCUAACACAUGCAAGUCGAACGGCAGCACAGUAAGAGCUUGCUCUUACGGGUGGCGAGUGGCGGACGGGUGAGGAAUACAUCGGAAUCUACUUUUUCGUGGGGGAUAACGUAGGGAAACUUACGCUAAUACCGCAUACGACCUACGGGUGAAAGCAGGGGAUCUUCGGACCUUGCGCGAUUGAAUGAGCCGAUGUCGGAUUAGCUAGUUGGCGGGGUAAAGGCCCACCAAGGCGACGAUCCGUAGCUGGUCUGAGAGGAUGAUCAGCCACACUGGAACUGAGACACGGGCCAGACUCCUACGGGAGGCAGCAGUGGGGAAUAUUGGACAAUGGGGGCAAGCCUGGUCCAGCCAUACCGCGUGGGUGAAGAAGGCCUUCGGGUUGUAAAGCCCUUUUGUUGGGAAAGAAAAGCAGCAGGUUAAUACCCCGCUGUUCUGACGGUACCCAAAGAAUAAGCACCGGCUAACUUCGUGC